GGUGUAGUGGUUUAAACAUUGGUUUGAGUGUUGGAUUAUGACUCUGGAGACCAGGGUUCAGAUCCCUGCUCGGCCA